rnacentral:tRNA from 1 species
GGGAUCGUAGCUCAGCCUGGUUAGAGCGCCUCCCUGUCAAGGAGGAGGUCAGGGGUUCGAGUCCCCCCGGUCCCGCAA